ACUUUUACAGGUAAGCAGACUUCCAACCGUCCUUAGGCGUCGGCACUCUUGGUGCAACUCCAAGUGAAAGUA
rnacentral:tRNA from 1 species